rnacentral:rRNA from 1 species
GACGAACGCUGGCGGCGCGCCUAACACAUGCAAGUCGAACGAGCGAGAGAGAGUUUGCUUUCUCAAGCGAGUGGCGAACGGGUGAGUAACGCGUGAGGAACCUGCCUCAAAGAGGGGGACAACAGUUGGAAACGACUGCUAAUACCGCAUAAGCCCACAGGUCGGCAUCGACCAGAGGGAAAAGGAGCAAUCCGCUUUGAGAUGGCCUCGCGUCCGAUUAGCUAGUUGGUGAGGUAACGGCCCACCAAGGCAACGAUCGGUAGCCGGACUGAGAGGUUGAACGGCCACAUUGGGACUGAGACACGGCCCAGACUCCUACGGGAGGCAGCAGUGGGGAAUAUUGCACAAUGGGGGAAACCCUGAUGCAGCGACGCCGCGUGGAGGAAGAAGGUCUUCGGAUUGUAAACUCCUGUUGUUGAGGAAGAUAAUGACGGUACUCAACAAGGAAGUGACGGCUAACUACGUGCCAGCAGCCGCGGUAAAACGUAGGUCACAAGCGUUGUCCGGAAUUACUGGGUGUAAAGGGAGCGCAGGCGGGAAGACAAGUUGGAAGUGAAAUCUAUGGGCUCAACCCAUAAACUGCUUUCAAAACUGUUUUUCUUGAGUAGUGCAGAGGUAGGCGGAAUUCCCGGUGUAGCGGUGGAAUGCGUAGAUAUCGGGAGGAACACCAGUGGCGAAGGCGGCCUACUGGGCACCAACUGACGCUGAGGCUCGAAAGUGUGGGUAGCAAACAGGAUUAGAUACCCUGGUAGUCCACACCGUAAACGAUGAUUACUAGGUGUUGGAGGAUUGACCCCUUCAGUGCCGCAGUUAACACAAUAAGUAAUCCACCUGGGGAGUACGACCGCAAGGUUGAAACUCAAAGGAAUUGACGGGGGCCCGCACAAGCAGUGGAGUAUGUGGUUUAAUUCGACGCAACGCGAAGAACCUUACCAAGUCUUGACAUCCUGCGACGAUGCUGGAAACAGUAUUUUCCUUCGGGACGAGAGACAGGUGGUGCAUGGUUGUCGUCAGCUCGUGUCGUGAGAUGUUGGGUUAAGUCCCGCAACGAGCGCAACCCUUACUGUCAGUUACUACGCAAGAGGACUCUGGCAGGACUGCCGUUGACAAAACGGAGGAAGGUGGGGAUGACGUCAAAUCAUCAUGCCCUUUAUGACUUGGGCUACACACGUACUACAAUGGCGUUAAACAAAGAGAAGCAAGACCGCGAGGUGGAGCAAAACUCAGAAACAACGUCCCAGUUCGGACUGCAGGCUGCAACUCGCCUGCACGAAGUCGGAAUUGCUAGUAAUCGUGGAUCAGCAUGCCACGGUGAAUACGUUCCCGGGCCU